GAUGAACGCUAGCGGCAGGCUUAACACAUGCAAGUCGAGGGGUAUAGGUUUUCGGACCUAGAGACCGGCGCACGGGUGCGUAACGCGUAUGCAAUCUACCUUUCACAGAGGGAUAGCCCAGAGAAAUUUGGAUUAAUACCUCAUAGUAUAGCAGUUUCGCAUGAAACCACUAUUAAAGUUCCAACGGUGAAAGAUGAGCAUGCGUCCCAUUAGCUAGAUGGUAAGGUAACGGCUUACCAUGGCUACGAUGGGUAGGGGUCCUGAGAGGGAGAUCCCCCACACUGGUACAGAGACACGGACCAGACUCCUACGGGAGGCAGCAGUGAGGAAUAUUGGUCAAUGGACGCAAGUCUGAACCAGCCAUGCCGCGUGCAGGAUGACGGUCCUAUGUAUUGUAAACUGCUUUUGUACGAGAAGAAACAACAUUACGUGUAAUGUCUUGACGGUAUCGUAAGAAUAAGGAUCGGCUAACUCCGUGCCAGCCGCCGCCGUAAAAC
rnacentral:rRNA from 1 species